GAUCAACGCUGGCGGCGUGCAUAACACAUGCAAGUCGAACGAUGAAGAUUAAAAGAUUUCUUCGGAAUGAACUUAAUUGGAUUAGUGGCGGACGGGUGAGUAACGCGUGAGUAACCUGCCUUGUACAAGGGGAUAGCCGUUGGAAACGACGAAUAAUACCCAUUGACAUCAAUAAAUCCAUUGAUAUUUUAUUAAAGAUUUAUCGGUAUAAGAUGGACUCGCGUCUGAUUAGCUAGUUGGUAGAGUAAAAGCCUACCAAGGCAACGAUCAGUAGCCGGCUUGAGAGAGUGUACGGCCACAUUGGGACUGAGACACGGCCCAGACUCCUACGGGAGGCAGCAGUGGGGAAUUUUGCACAAUGGGGGAAACCCUGAUGCAGCGACGCCGCGUGAUUUAGAAGGCCUUCGGGUUGUAAAAAUCUUUUGUAUGGGAAGAAAAUGACAGUACCAUACGAAUAAGGACCGGCUAAUUACGUG
rnacentral:rRNA from 1 species